rnacentral:rRNA from 1 species
GACGAACGCUGGCGGCGUGCCUAAUACAUGCAAGUCGAGCGGACGAAUCGAAAGCUUGCUUUUGAUUCGUUAGCGGCGGACGGGUGAGUCACACGUGGGCAACCUGCCCUGUAGACGGGGAUAACACCGAGAAAUCGGUGCUAAUACCGGAUAACACGAAAUGUCGCAUGACGUUUCGUUGAAAGACGGCGCAAGCUGCCGCUACAGGAUGGGCCCGCGGCGCAUUAGCUAGUUGGUGAGGUAACGGCUCCCCAAGGCGAGGAUACGUAGCCGACCUGAGAGGGUGAUCGGCCACACUGGGACUGAGACACGGCCCAGACUCCUACGGGAGGCAGCAGUAGGGAAUCUUCCGCAAUGGACGAAAGGCUGACGGAGCAACGCCGCGUGAGCGAAGAAGGCCUUCGGGUCGUAAAGCUCUGUUGUUAGGGAAGAACAAGUAACGCAGUAACUGGCGUUACCGUGACGGUACCUAACGAGAAAGCCACGGCUAACUACGUG